CAUACGAAACAGGUAGAGAAAGCAAAAGAUGGCUGACCUUGCCCAUGUCAUCUAAUUUCGCGCCAGAUGCAGAAAGUUCCGUUAUUAGAUCAGCAAAUAUAUUAAAAUGGUUUAUCAAAUCCAUAUCGCCUUUUAAUUUUAGUGAAAGUAAUUGUUUACGGACGGACAACUGUGUAGCCAAACUUUUGCGUUCAUAUAUUGAAUCUAAAUUAUGAAAAAUUUUUUUAGCACUGCAAUCAUUUGUGACAAAACUUAGGAAGGAAUCACUUAAAUAUUCAAUAAUUGUAUUUUUGGCCAAUUUCUCUAACUUUUUCCACUCAUCACCUUUUUCACCACCAGUUUCAUCAAUUACUUUAAUCGAAUCAUUUUCGCUUAAAAGCGCCCUAACUCGAAAUUUCCAAAUCGCAUAUUUUUCACCGUCGAACGGCUUUAUAUUUCUUUUUGAUUUUUCCAUGAUAAAAAAUGUAAAUCACAAGGUGUACUUAUCUUCGAUGGGAAUCUGGGCCCAUAACCUGUAGAAAAUCUGUAGAAAACAGAUCAAUCCGCAGAGCCUUUAGGUAGUAGAACACAGAUAUUAAUCCUUAAUAUCUUCUUGGUUUGUCUUGAUUUCUCGUCUUGUAUAUUUCCAGUAGGAACAAAUAAAGAAAACACUUUGUUGCGGAUAUUUUAAUCUAUAGCAGACACACGUGUUUAUUGUUCAAGGAACCAAGUAGAAAGAGAACGAAAAGUAGAAAGGAAAAAGUAAGGCCGUAUAAUCCAGAAAUGACAAAUAAAUAUCGAUAUUCGAGAUAUAUAUAUAUAUACUGUUUUUGCCUUUAAUGAUGUGAUAUUUCCACAAUAAGCCUAUCUGCUUCCUCACGGAGUUUUGAAAUUUGCGCGAAUGGUAUUUGCGUGCUUUUAUAAAAUUUUGACGUGGCAGUGGCGUAUAUUUGCUUAAAAAUUUUGCGGUGGAAGUUGCAUUUGACAAACUCUCAGAGAUGACAACUAUGAACACUGAAAGUCAGUGUUGUACAAUGUUACGUUCAUGUCAUAUUGUUUAUAGAAUAAUUUGAAAUAUUGGAACUCGUGCCAUUAAUUUUGACCUAAUGUUCCCGAGCCUUUUGUAGAGUUUUGUCUGUACCUCAGUUUCAGGGUUUCCUUGAUAAGAUGCUAGUUGUUUGCUUGAGGAAUGUUUGUAUUGUUAUUUCGCUGUAAUAUUUUUCAAUCGGUUUGCCGUAAUGUUUUAAACAAUGAAGAUCUCUAAUUAGGGAUGUUUCUGUCCUUUUAUCUGAAUAAUGCGAUAUCAAGUUUCCUCUGAUCUCAUCCCAAUUAAGGGAUGUGCCAUACAUGUUUAAGACUUCGUUGGCUUGACCAUCUAUUUUAUCUCUUAUGGCCCUCAAGAGGAUUAGUCCAUGAGGAGUGUUAUCUGCUCCCCUAAUGUGAAGAAGUAUUUCUUCCACAUUACUAAUGAAUUCGUGGGGCAAUUUUGGAUUACCAUCAAAUUUGGGUAGGUCCUUGAUUGCAUCUGGAAUUCUAAGUGAGUUAAAAAUGUCGAUAUUAUUCAUGUUGUUACUAUUAGUUGUCGUUUGAGUCCCUGACUUGACUCAUACUUGGAACUUCUGUAUUUGAAAGCAUAUUAAAAUUUAAUGUAAUGUCCUCGGAUUUAACGGGUAGGCUUCUUGACUUAAAAAUCUUAAAACUUUUAGGAUAUGGAAAAUAUCUAGAUUUACUACUCAUCAAAAAUAAUAACUUGUUUUAUUUACAUAAGAUAAUUUGGUUCCGAUUGAUAGGAAUUUGGAAUCAAAUAAUGCCUACACAAAAAUAAUUUAAUUCGUUUUUUUAUAUAUGUAAUUUAUUUUUUAUUUAACUUUUCCACUUUUCCACUUCUUCCUUUUUAAUUUUAUUUAUUUUGACAAUUUAUGUUAUAUUUUCUUUUAAGUUUUAAAGAUUAUAUUUUUUAAUGAUCUUUCCAAGUGCUUAUAAAUAAGUGGUUGAAAAAUUUUUCUUUUGAAUUAAUAUAUUUUUAUUUAAAUUUUUUUUUUUUGUAAUUCAAUAACCACUCAUUUACUUACAGAGCCCCUAUGAGAAUUGUACGCAUGAGGGAUUUAGGUCCUUUUCCAACGGUUCUCGAGUAUUUCCACUUAUUUUCCUUGUAGCCUUAUACCAAUAUGCUCUUGAUAUUUGUUCUCCGUCCGAUAUUCCUUCGAGUUUUUGAACAGGCGGCCCCUUAUGUGGUCCAAGGAUUUAAUUAUUAACAAAGAUAUUAUUUGGUUAGCACUUUUAGUUAAGCUCCAACCCGAACCGUUGGCUUUCCGACUGCGCCAGUUAUGUUAUUACGUUCCUUCGUUAAUUGCACCAAAUAAAACACUUUAUCUUCUCGAAGGUUACACCAAUAAUGAUCUUUAUUUUUAAAUUAAUUUAACAUGAAGGCAAAUAAGUAAAAGAAAUUUGAUGAGUCAAGAAAAAUACAGUAAAAAUUAAAACACAAUAGGUGUUAAAAGUUACGUCCACUUCUAGUUGCCUUGCGUUCGUCUGUCGGCCCCACAUACAUUUCUUAACACUUUAAUUAGCAUUAUGCCUUACGCUUAAUAUUGAAAAUGCUCAAUUCUGUUUAUUUCGAGUCUGCUGUUUACAGUUCAAGGUGAAACACGCUCUUCGUAAUGAAUAGUCCUACGAAAAGUGUGCUUUUUUU